CAUUUACAAACCUUUAGCUAGACAUAAAAGUUCUCCAAGUGCCCACCCCACUCAGGAACCCAGCUGGCUUCCCUAGUGGGUCUGGUGUAGGUCCGCUGGCGGAGCUGCCAGCCGGACACACGCCCCACGCCCGCACUUCUCAGCCCUUCCGCGGUCCAUGGGUCCGGCCGUCGUGGAGCAGGGGGCGGCGCCCGUCGGGGAGGCUCCAGCCGCGCGGGAGCCAACGAUCUCCUCCGGGAGUGGUGGGCAGCUACUGUGAAAGGCCUGGUUCAAAAACCUCACAGCGGUUGUUUUCAGAGUUGUCCCUCCUGUGUACUCUCAAAGCCCCAGAAUGAAGCAAAGCAUCCUCCCUUUUCAAACUGGCACUCUUCCCCAACCUUGAGGACCACUAGGCACUUUGUUUUUAAAGCCACAAUAAAAAACUGGCAUGUAUCAGAUGAGCAGACAUGAGAAAGAAUAAAAAAUGCCCCCAAACCUGGCAUAUAGAUGAUGGUGUCUCACUCUGUCAUCUGGGCUGGAGUACAGUGGCAUGAUCUUAGCUCACUGCACGCUCUGCCUCCUGGGCUCAAUUG
rnacentral:lncRNA from 1 species